rnacentral:rRNA from 1 species
AGUCGUACGAGAGUUUUUAACUCAAGUGGCGGACGGGUGAGUAACACGUAAGAAUUUGCCUUUAGGAGGGGGACAACAACUGGAAACGGUUGCUAAUACCCCAUAUGCUUUCGAGUGAAAUGGAUUUUUCCGCCUAGAGAGAAGCUUGCGGCUGAUAAGCUUGUUGGUGAGGUAAUGGCUCACCAAGGCGACGAUCAGUAUCUGGUUUGAGAGGACGAUCAGACACACUGGAACUGAGACACGGUCCAGACUCCUACGGGAGGCAGCAGUGGGGAAUUUUCCGCAAUGGGCGAAAGCCUGACGGAGCAAUACCGCGUGAGGGAUGACGGCCUAUGGGUUGUAAACCUCUUUUUUCAGGGAGGAAUAAAAUGACGUGUACCUGAAGAAUAAGCAUCGGCUAACUCCGUGCCAGCAGCCGCGGUAAGACGGAGGAUGCAAGUGUUAUCCGGAAUCACUGGGCGUAAAGCGUCUGUAGGUGGUCCAAUAAGUCAACUGUUAAAUCUUGAGGCUCAACCUCAAAACCGCAGUCGAAACUAUUAGACUAGAGUAUAGUAGGGGUAAAGGGAAUUU